rnacentral:lncRNA from 1 species
UCCCUCCCUUAUCUCCAAGUGGUGCACAUCCCUAGAUCUUAUCCAUAUGGGGUGUCCCAUCCUUUCUAUGAAGAAAAUUCAUGAUGAAAAGUGUGGGGCACCAACUAUUGGUAUCUCCCCCAAUCAUUUAAUUCUUAUAUAGAAAACUUGCUUCAGGGAUCAACUCUUAGUGUCCAAAAUGAGCUUGCUUCGAUUUAGUUAAGCCCUAUCCAAUAAGGAACCCAAAUCAAG